UACGUAGGGUGCGAGCGUUGUCCGGAAUUAUUGGGCGUAAAGAGCUUGUAGGCGGUUUGUCGCGUCUGCCGUGAAAUUUCGAGGCUCAACCUCGAACUUGCGGUGGGUACGGGCAGACUAGAGUGUGGUAGGGGGAGACUGGAAUUCCUGGUGUAGCGGUGAAAUGCGCAGAUAUCAGGAGGAACACCGAUGGCGAAGGCAGGUCUCUGGGCCACUACUGACGCUGAGAAGCGAAAGCAUGGGGAGCGAACAGG
rnacentral:rRNA from 1 species